rnacentral:rRNA from 1 species
AGAAUCAACGCUGGCGGCGUGCCUAACACAUGCAAGUCGAACGAGAAAGUGGAGCAAUCCGUGAGUAAAGUGGCGCACGGGUGAGUAACACGUGACUAACCUACCUUGAGUGGGGAAUAACCUAGGGAAACCUGGGCUAAUACCGCAUAACACCUACGGGUCAAAGGAGCAAUUCGCUUAGAGGG